rnacentral:rRNA from 1 species
GAUGAACGCUGGCGGCGUGCCUAAUACAUGCAAGUCGAGCGAAUAGACGAGGAGCUUGCUCCUCUGACGUUAGCGGCGGACGGGUGAGUAACACGUGGAUAACCUACCUAUAAGACUGGGAUAACUUCGGGAAACCGGAGCUAAUACCGGAUAAUAUAUUGAACCGCAUGGUUCAAUAGUGAAAGACGGUUUUGCUGUCACUUAUAGAUGGAUCCGCGCCGCAUUAGCUAGUUGGUAAGGUAACGGCUUACCAAGGCAACGAUGCGUAGCCGACCUGAGAGGGUGGUCGGCCACACUGGAACUGAGACACGGUCCAGACUCCUACGGGAGGCAGCAGUAGGGAAUCUUCCGCAAUGGGCGAAAGCUUGACGGAGCAACGCCGCGUGAGUGAUGAAGGUCUUCGGAUCGUAAAACUCUGUUAUUAGGGAAGAACAAAUGUGUAAGUAACUAUGCACGUCUUGACGGUACCUAAUCAGAAAGCCACGGCUAACUACGUG